CAAAUUCUACUUAACCACCUGUGUUUUGGGCUUUUUACUUUAAAAAAAGUGUCUGUUGAUCUAAGAUAAGGAGUCUUAAUAGAAAACUAAAAUUUUUAUAUAUGCUCUAAACUGGGCCAAACUUAAAAUAUUUUCAAAUGUUUUGCAAAGACAAAACCUCUCAAGUGAACCCAAGCUAACAGACCCAGUACAUUAAGAUGAUCAGUGUGUUUCAAUCUCACUUGGGCAAAACUUUUUAAUAUGUAUUAAGAGUUGGAGCAAACUUGUGUGGUAUAGAAUCUUCUAUUUCUUUUGGUUAGUUUUGUUUGUAUGUUUUGUUGGUUGGUUUGUUUGUUUUGUUCAGUGAUCACCAAAAUGUUCAGCCUCUGCAGUGUCCCUUUUGACUUACCUGUUUUUCAAAAGGCUCCUUAGUCCUUUCUAGACAAUAAAUUAUGAGACCUGGGCACAGAAAAAAAAUCUACUGAGACUAUCAUUUACUGCUACUGCCUGUGAGUUGUGUUUCUUAAAAACUGCUUUCUUCUCCUUGUUUCAGGUAAUGAAUCAGGAUAUUAAAUCAGGUGCUACUUGAAUGAUUAAGAUACCUCUGAAUCUUGGACUAAAUCUAGGCAGUCACCAGGAAAUUCAACCUUCAUCAUAUGGGCUAAAGCAUAAGCUAUAGCACAACUGAAUUAACUUUGAACAGUCUUCUGAAAUCAAAACUUACUAAGUAGAUUAGAUAUAAGAGAAGCAACAUAAUAUUCAGCCUAUUGAAAAGGAUCCUCUGUUUUCCACAAGCUUCAUCAUGGAAUCUUUAAGAAUAUAUUAAUAUGAGGCAACACUAGUGCUGCUAGGACCCUAAGAUGCAGCUGUCAAGUAACAUCUGCCGAAAAGGGACUUGCUUCAUUAGCUUUAAAACUCUCCAUUGCUCAUUAGGUUUCACUAGAUGGGGAUUCAGUAUUUUUGAGUCAGUCAUCCUGUAUGAAAUAGUUUGUUCAUGACACUGAUGAACAAUUACCUACCCACACACUUGGGACUUUAAAUUUGUUUAUUUCAACUGAGUGUCAGUACAGGCACAAGCUUAGUACUUGUUUGUCUAGGAAGACUAAUUGAAACACAGAAAAGUCAGUUUGGUUAACUACAUAGAUGAGAUUGAAAGCUUUCUAUAAUAAUCUGUUCUUAAUUUCUCUUAAAGAGAAUCUAUAACCCCUCAUGAGGUUUUGUUGCAUGUUUUUAUUUAUUUAACUUUUUCAAGUACUGUAAAAUAUUAAUUACAAAUUAAAAAAUAUUGUUUCAACCCAUCCAGUGGAAGAUAAACUGCUGCGCAUAAUAACUUGAAUUUCUGUUGGCUGAUAAAUGUUUAAUGGCUUGUUAGAAAACUAAUUGUCAGUUUAAUCAGGAGAGUGACAAUAAUAACUCAAAUAUUUGCACUGUCAUCUGCAAAGGCAACUGUAAAUAUGAGUUGUUCUAAAGCCUGUCUAAGGGUAUGAAUACACGGCAAUCCCCUUGAAACAAA